AGAGCCACAGCAUUCCUAGCUGGCUCUCCCCUUGAACACUGAGCAGAAGGCUGGGGCUGAGGGAGGCAGAGUAGAGGGGAAGGCAGCCUGGAGGAGAGGCAGGGACAGGGAGAGCUGAGGCCGGGUUAGGAGCUCCGAGGCUGGGGGUUAGGAGGAUGGCGGGCCAGGGUAAAAGUGUGGAGGUGGGAGUGCGACGUGGGCACAGGAAUGCGGUUAAGGUGGGAGAAAGGUGAAAUACAAGGAGGCCGCGAUUAAAGUGCCAUAGCUGGGAGAGGAACGAGAGCUAGAGACGAGGGACAAGGUGAGGAGAAAGUGUCACACUGAGGAGGAGGAGAAGGCCAGGUAGGGAAGAUUAAGUGAUGGUGGAAAAGAACUGGGAGUCAACUGAGACUAGGUUGGCUAGGGGUUGAAAUAUAAAUGCAUAUAAAUUAUGUACGAGUGAGGAAGCCUGAAGAUGUCUAAAGCCAGUUAAGGUAUGAGUGCUAGACUAUUUUGGAGGUGAGACAGGUAGCAAGGCAACAAGAGACCAACACAUGGGCAGAAAAGGAGACAGGAAUUUAGUAUUCCAGCUUUAGGAGUGGGGAGUCUUUUUUGCUUUUCCUGCCAUGGAUGUAGUGCUGGUUUGGACAGCGGCUGGCGUCCAAUCAGACAACAGGACUGUAGGCCUUGUCAUAACGACAACCAUGACAUCACUGCAAGGGCUAGCGGAAAGAAGACAGCGGAGCUCCAGACAGACAGCGGGGCUUCACGGGGCUGCACGCCGGACAAAGCGAGCCGGCUGCCGGAUAGAAACCGCGCGGACUACCGGGGAUGGGGGAAACACGCUGAGGGUGCCGGUUGGACGUUUCUCGGCCGGCUUUGGGAGCUCUGUCCCGGACAAGUUGAGGCUUCCUCGGGGAAGCGAGAUGAAGAUAUGGAGGAGGUUGAGCGAUAUGGCAUCUUGUUUAAUUUCUGCCAAUCAAGACGAAAGGAAGACGACUCCCAAACUGGCAUGACGUAACGGGAGAGUGAAGACACGAUCAAGGGACCAGAAAAUGCAUAAACCGGAUGGAAAAUGGGAACUGAGUAGCAGCGGCUGCUGUAAUCUCCGCUGUUCAAUUAGCAGCGCUGACCGGGACGCCACCUACACUUCAUUAACAGGGAGGGGAAGGUGAAACAUCAAGCCAGUAGGAGUACAUGAGAUGGGGAGUAAAUGAGAGCUUGCUGUCAGUAGUGUGAGCCAUUUCCAGGUGAAGCAAACUGAAUUAAACUGAACUGAUCUGAACUGGAAUGACCUGAAAACUGAACUGAACUGAAACGAAAGCUUCCUCUGGACAGGACACACGGCUCUCUGAGCUUUCGGAAAAAGAAUGUUCAUGCAGAGGAAAUCCUUGAAAUAAUACAGACGAAAGCCUGCUGUCAUGCAUGUUGUGUUGUCUCCUGUUAAUUCACAUUUACAUUAUGUUGUAUGACAUCAAUUUGACUUAAUUUAAUUAUGAAUUUCAGCUUUCUCUUGUGUGCACAUGGUCCGUUUUAUCUUAUUUUUUUAAUUUAUCAUAAACACAAGGCAACUUUUACGUCACUGUCUAUUAAGUUUAUUUCUUUUUUUUUUGUGUAACUACGUAUGUUCAUGUAUCUAUAUGAGGGAUAAUCAUGGAUUAGUCUUACAGUAAUACAGAUGCUAUAAUUGAUAUUUUAACAAUGUGAAAACAAUGUUACAAUGUGAACGGAGUCUCUUGUUGUGACGAAGCUUCAGAGAAAUGUCUCCUGAAUCUUCAUCACCUCUCAGCUUUAUGCUGCAUUCACAUGGAUCCAGGCAGACGGACACCUUUUGGACGACAAGACGAAACACGCAUGGCGAUACGUUGCUAUGGUGAUGUAUUGUUCACAAAGAAUGGGAUAAAAUAUAUAAAAAUGAUUUUGUCUAUUUAGAAAUGCAUGUGGUUUCUUGUAACAUCAACGGUACAAUUAAAGUUCUAAUCAGAUCAGUGUUACUACAGUGUCUACUAGCUCAGCGUUGUCCAGAUAGUGGUUUCUCCUCGUGUGAGGGAGCUACGCAACAUCGGGUUCUUAAAGGUCCAGUGUGUAACGUGUUUAGUUGUUCAUUAUCAAAAUCUGUGUUGCCCGUUCACACACUUGUCCUUUUUCAUGACUAUUUACCACCGCCAUCAAUUCCAAGUAUUCCUAUUGGCUGCCAUUUGCAUUCACAUGAACUGGGGUAGACGCUCCAUAUUCAUGCGCUAUCUUGAAAUACAUUAGCCGGUAAGGGACAAACAGGACGUACUGCUCCGCUUUUCGCGUUUUCGCUGUCAUAUAAUAAACUCCCAGGUGCUGCUAAUGCUGCUAAUGGGUAUCGUAGCUUCCCGGCCCCGGCAAACAUGGAGGACCACACGUAUUCUAAAUUCUUUUUCGCCCAGAAAAAGAAAAAGGAUAUUGAAAAGAGCAAGAGACCGGCGUCAUCAGAAAAAAGCGUGAAGGCUACCGUAGCUGUAAUAUGUACUUUGAACUGUGUGGCGUGAGAGAGUUGAUUACGAUAUAUGAUCUCAACGCCAGAUGGGUGAAAUUGCCACACAUUGGACCUUUAAUUCCAUCACGGAGGAUGGCAAACAGUUAAAUAUUUUAACUUUGGACAGCAAUGCCAUCGACUGUUACCAGUAUUCUCUGCCGGCCUCAAUUACUUUUACCGCCCUACUCUCGUUCACAAGCAAUUGUUUGCUAACAUAACUUAAAAGUUGAUAAUAUCAAUGUUGUGUUUCCGCUGCCUCCAAGUGGCCAAAAAAAACCAUUUAUUGCAGGUUUUAAUAAAUACAGUUAAAGUUAAGUAAAUAAAUAAAGUUAAAGUAGUCUAACACAGUGGGUUUUCUCACACAGGGUUUCCCACGAGUCUUUCUAAAAAGCUGAAACAUGUUUCUGAGGCUUAGAAAUAUAGCCCCUUGACAUUUUAUACACAUGUAAUAAAGAUUAGAUGCCUGCAGUUAAAGCCUUAAUGGGAGUUCUGGCAGCAUGUUUCUUUUAUUACUAUCUGGAAUGUGAAAAAUGUGAAUAAACGUUUCGGUUUGGGUUUA